UACACAAUUUACAAAUCUAUUACAGUUAUUUAGUUAAAUCCUAUCCAUAACUGCAGCAGUUACUCCAUAAUUUUAUAAAACAAAAUAAAUAAUUUACACCAUCUAUAAAUAUAACCUCACAAACUAUCACAAUACGAAUUCCACCUAUCACAAUACGAAUUCCAUAGCCAAAAAAUCGAUCUCCACAAAAAUCAUUCUCAUUUUUUCAUUUUACGUUGAAAUGGCUCCUUUGUUCGGCGUCAUCAAGGAAUUGGAACCGGGAAAGAGCAAGAUCGCAUUGCAAUUGCGCUUGAUAAGAAGUUAUGACAUCUUCAAGUUCAACAACAGAUCUGAAACAUUUUCUCAUGAGUGUGUGUUCCAUGAUAAAGAGGUACUCACUCAAUACACUAUUUUUUUAUAUUUUCGAAAAUUUCAAAUAUCAUACUAAAAUUUUUUGUUUAUUUUUACAGGGCGAUCGAAUCCAUGCCACAAUUAAUACUUCAUCACUACAGCAAAUUAAGCCACUCCUCACAGAAGGACAUGUUUAUGCAAUCAAGGAUUUUGUUAUCACCAACAACACCAUGAAAUACAAAACCACAGAGUCACAAUAUAAGCUUUUAUUGUUCAAGCACACAAGAGUUGUAGAACUCGAUGAUGAUACAUUCCCAAAUCACACAUUCAACAUCAAGAAUUUUGGAGAAAUUUCUUCUAUUUCUGACGUCCAGAAUGUGGUCAUGUUUGGUAAAAACUUUUCAGUCAUUUUAUUUUAAUUAUUAUCAUCUUAUGAAUUUUAAUUUCAAAUUUAUAUUGUAGAUAUCAUGGGAAUCGUAGUUUCAAGUUAUCAGCCAAUAAUCAAAGAUUUCAAUGGACAGCAAACAAAGCUUAUGGAUAUCAUCAUAGAAGAUUUGGAGUAAUAUUUAUUAUACUUUCAAUUAUGUUAAUUGCAUAAAUAAAAUACCUCAAUAUAUCUGAAUGACUAACCUAAAUUGUAUUUAAUUGCAGGGGAAAGACUAUGACAUGCACACUUUGGGAACAGUAUGCAGAUAAAAUACAUGAAUAUCUGUGCACAGAAUCAAAAAUGCCAAUAUGUAUCAUAGUACAAUUCUGUCGCCCAUCUAUAUUCAGAGGUAGAAAAAAUAAAAAAAUUUAUUAUCAUUAUCUAUUAUCUAUUUGUGCUAAUACAUUUUGGUUUAUGAAACAGGUGAAGUUUGCAUAUCAAGUUCAUAUCAUGUGUCAAACAUACUUUUUGAUGAAAACAUUGUUGAAAUCAAGAAGAUGAAGGACAAGUAAGUAUUUUAAAAAAUAAAAAUUAAUUGCAUCGCCAUACAUUAUUGUUCACAUUAUUUCCAAUUGCAGUUUUAUCAAACUUCACAAGGAAAGAUCAAUCAAUCUCAAGUUAUUGGCAGCACCAACAAUUAGAACAAUUGAAGAUGAAAUAAAUGAAGGCAGUGCAAAAUUCAUGGCUAUUUCAGAGUUGACUGGUCAACAGGUUUAAUAUUACAUAAUUUUAUAUUUUUUAAUAUUAAAUUUUCGAAACAUUUAAAUAAUAUAUUUUCGUGUUUUUUAAGAGGGGAAUGUACUGGAUAUAUGGCACAAUAUGUUCUGUAUCAACGAUUCGAGGUUGGGCUUACUUAGCAUGCAACAUAUGCCUAAAAAAACUGAAAGCAAAUGAUGAUAAAUUUUUUUGUGACAACUGUGCAAGCUUUGAUGUUUCAGGAAAAAUGAGGUAAAUCCAUUUUAAGAUAUUUGGAAAAUACUAUUGUUUAUGACUUACUAACAUGUUAUCUAAUAAAAAAUAGGUAUAGACUAAGAGUAUAUGUUGCUGAUAAGAUGUUAUCUAAUAAAAAUAGGUAUAGACUAAGAGUAUAUGUUGCUGAUAAUUCUGGAGGUGUUUCUUUAAGCUUAUGGGAUAGAGAGUGCUUACAACUAAUUGGAAACCUGCCGAAGAAAUAAUAUAUGUAAGUAAAUGCAAAAUAAAAUUAUGGAGAUAAUUCUAAAGUUAUUAAUUUAAAUUAAAAAUUUUGCAGGAUCCUAAUAGCAAUGAGUUGCCAAUUGAGAUAGAUGCUAUCACCAACAAAAAUAGCUCUAUUUAAAAUUAAAAGUUGAAGAAUACAACAUUUUUGAUGGAGCAUAUGUUGUGACAAAAAUCAACUGCGACCCAAAUAUUUUAAAUAAAUAUUGUGGGUCAAUAGUUGAAAGUGAGACCAAGGAAAUCAAUUGAAAGACAAAGAAAUUGGAAACAUUAAGGUAUUGAUUAAAUAAAAUUAUUAGAUUGGUUUUGAAAUUGAAAACAAUUAUUAUAAAUAUGAAAUAUUUCAGGUUCAAAAUGAUGGUGGGAGUAGCAGCUUUACCAAUGUACAUGAAUCAGUGAACAUCAGUGACAAUGAGGCAACAAAGAGACAACUCGAAGAAGAAACAUCAACUGACCCAAAACUUGUGAAUAAAAGAGGGAAGAGAGUUGUGAUCAAGAAGGAGAAGCCCUAAAGUAGCAUUUAGUUUUAUGAUGUUUUAGUAAUUAGUACUUUAGGAUUUGCACUUUCAAAUUUCGUACUUUAGAAUUGUAAUUUUAAAUUUCGUUUUUAGAUUUCAGUUUCAAAUUUAGUUGUUUAGGAUUUCAACUUUCAAGUAUCAACUUAUUAAUGUUAGUAUUUCAUAGCUCAGACAUAUAUAAACUAUAAAAAUUAAGCAAAUCAGAACACAAAUGGGAUCAAAUUGAAUGUAUCACAAGAUCAACAUACAAUUCUUCUUCUAAAUUAUUAAUUAAUCCACAAGAUCAACAUACAAGAAGCAGCAACGAAAAUAUUAAUGAAGUACAAAUUAAAGAAUCCAAAUUAAACAUAAAGUGAGAGAUGAAUUAAUAUAUCUGAAAAUAUAGUAGAUGCCAAAAGAAAUCUCCCAAUUAAUAAAAAAUACGAAGCAAGAAGAAAACUUCUAAACUAUUGUCGUUCCAAAAUAUAAAUAGAAUAACGAAAUGCGGCAGAAACAUAAAACGAAGAUAAAGUUGAAUUAUAUAUAUUAAGAUAGAGGCUGUAAAAGACCUUAACGCAUAAAAAGUUUAUUAUGAACUUUAUGUUAUUAUGAAUUUUUUAGCAUGGAAAUUUCGUAGUAUAAAAGAAUAAUUUUACACUUAAGAAGAAAGCGGUGAUAGUUACAUAUGUAACUAGAUUUUCUUACAAACUUAAAUCCCAAACAUACAUUUAAUGAUAAAACAAAGGAGCUUCUAAAAUGGGUUUUAAAAGGAACAGAAAGACUAAUCUGUACAAAAAGAGGGAUGUAAUUACACUGUAGUAGUAAUUUGUUUGGAAAAAUAGUCGUGAUUAUAGUCUAUUAAACAGGCUUACCAAAAAAAUGAAGUUUAAGAUUUUUAAGUGUAUGUAUAGGUUGUUAUAAAAACAUCUUUUGUAGAUAAUGAUUUUCACGAAACAAAAUUGUAGAUAUAAGAGUUUUAUGAGAAAAUCAUUAUUUAUCCCUAAAAAAUUGCUAUAGAUAUGGUGUUAGAGUCGAGCUCAAUGAAAUGAUCAAAUUUUGACAAUAAAAUUUGGCAACAGAUCACUAUUAUAUCAUUUGCUCAUGAAAGAAAAAAAAUUAAGACAGAGGCUCUAAUUGUAAUACAAUAAAUGAGUAACGCCAAUGUUGAUAUUUGUAAAAGAGGAAAAUUUCAUUUUAUCAUUUAUAAUCAGCAUAACUUUAUUUAUGGUAAUUUAACAAACUGUCUUUUCGUUUUAUAAAAAUUGUCAAGUGCAUAAACAAUGGAUGAAAUAUGAACAUGUCGAAAACAUACGUUCGAAAGAUCUUGCUUUCGUUCGAGCGAGUUUUAUUAGAAAACAAUUUCAAAAUCGAUUUCAUAAGUUAAAAAGAUAUUGCUUUCAGCUAGCAUAUUAUGUCUAUGAAAGAUAUGAAGAGAUCGAAGACUUACUCCAAAAUGCGAAAGAAACGCCAGCUGAAGUGGCGGAGCAGCUGCUCAAGGAGGAUGAACCUCAUGAUUCUCUGCAAGGCUUGAUCGAUUUCCUGCACAAGAAGAUGAGAGAGAACGAGGAGGGCGAGGCAGAAAAGGCAAAAGCCGCAGCAGAGAAGCAAGAGGAGGAGAAGAAGGAAGAAUGAAAACAAACAAAUAAUUAGGCCAAUUAAAAAUUUAAAAACCAAAUUAUGCAGUUAAAUCAAUCACUUUCGAAAAGAUAAAUUUAAGCAGUUUAUAUUUCAGAUAAGCGGUUAAAAAUUCAAAUUCUUAAGCAUAAAUAAAAAGGAAGUUAUAGAUUUUGAAUAUUUUUACUAUUUUCCACCAUUUUGUUUUCGCGAUUCCACCAAAAGCAAGCAAACAAUUGGUAAGUAAACUUGUUCCAUUUAUAAAUUUAUAUUUUAUUUAUGAUGAUGUAUGUGAAUAUCAUGUUCUUCGAUACAAUAUAUGAAUGUCUAUCAAAUCCUUAAGAGAAUGUAAUAGCUAUGAACAUGCAUAAAUAGUUUCAUAUGAUUCUAUAUUUUCUGAUUAUCAUGCUUGCAUUAAUUACGAUUUGGAAAUUAAUUUUAAACUUACCCGUGAAUUCGUUGGUUUGUACGGUAUCUUGAAUGAUUCCUGAUACAUAAAUGAUAAAAUUCAUAAGCAAAAAAAUAAAUUGCAUAUAAUGAAUUAAAGCAUUAGUAGUUUUACUUAUCUGUUUACAGUCUUCUAUAGAUAAUGAAGUAAUUGCUUCUGUUAUAGUGUUUCAUGAAAGUUGCCUAGAAAAUGGCUUAAGUGAAAGACAAAUAAACAAAAGCACCAUUUCUCAUGUAUAUAUUCAUAGAUCUAAUGUAGAAAUUGAUAGAUCUAUGAAGUGAUGACUUAAAAAAAUAAUUAAAAAAAACAACGAAAAAAUAUAAAAACUGUAGUUUAAUAAAAAUAUAUGUAAUAGACGAAAAAAAAAUUAAGAAAACAACCACUUCUCAUGUGAUAUUCAUAUUUAUGAACUAAAAAUAAAGAAAAGCAUCACUUAUAGAUAUUCAUAAAUCUACAUCUUGAUGUAAAUAUUCAUAAAUCUACAUCUUUAUGUAAAUCUAUACGAAGUGAUAUACUUAAAAAUAUAAUAAAUAAAGAACAUUAUAAAACAAAAAAAUACAAAGAAAACAUGAAGAACUUUUGUUUUAAGUAAUACUUUGUGUAGAUAUUUAUAGAUCUACCAAAAUAAUCACAAAAACUAAACCAGAAAAUGAAACAUAACAACGAAAAAUUAAAGAACUAUUAGAAGAAACUUUUGUUUUAAGUAAUACUUUGUAGAUUUAAAUCUACCAAAAAUAACAAAUAAACAGAAAAUGAAAAUACAAGAAAAAUAAAGAACUUUUGUUUUAAGCAAUACUUUGUGUAGAUAUUAAUAGAUCUACCAAAAUAAUCACAAAAACUAAACCAAAAAAAUAAAAUAAAUUGCAGCAAAAUCUAUACAAAAACCAAACAAAAACAAAUAAAAUGAAUCGCAACAACAUCUAUAGCUUGUAUGUAAAUCUUAUACCUAUAUGUAUAUUUUCAAAACUAGAAGCAUAUAGAAUGGAGAGAGGCUGCGAGUAUAUAGAAAGAGAGAAGAGUGAGGAUGCGAAAUUUUGUGAGAGAGAGAAGAGGUGAGGCUGCGAAAUUUUGUGAGAGAGAGAAGAG
rnacentral:lncRNA from 1 species